rnacentral:rRNA from 1 species
UACAGAGGGGGCAAGCGUUGUUCGGAAUUACUGGGCGUAAAGGGCGCGUAGGCGGCCUGCUAAGUCGAACGUGAAAUCCCCAGGCUCAACCUGGGAACUGCGUCCGAUACUGGAUGGCUUGAAUCCGGGAGAGGGAUGCAGAAUUCCAGGUGUAGCGGUGAAAUGCGUAGAUAUCUGGAGGAAUACCGGUGGCGAAGGCGGCAUCCUGGACCGGCAUUGACGCUGAGGAGCGAAAGCCAGGGGAGCAAACGGG